GAGCCAACUUGGCAUAGUGGUUUGAGCGCCGGACUAUGACUCUGGAGACCAGAGUUCAAAUCCCUGCUCA